GUGGGGAAUUUUGGACAAUGGGCGCAAGCCUGAUCCAGCCAUUCCGCGUGAGUGAAGAAGGCCUUCGGGUUGUAAAGCUCUUUCGGCAGGAACGAAACGGUGGGGGCUAAUACCCUCUGCUAAUGACGGUACCUGAAGAAGAAGCACCGGCUAACUACGUGCCAGCAGCCGCGGUAAUACGUAGGGUGCGAGCGUUAAUCGGAAUUACUGGGCGUAAAGCGUGCGCAGGCGGUUCUAUAAGACAGAUGUGAAAUCCCCGGGCUUAACCUGGGAACUGCGUUUGUGACUGUAGGACUCGAGUGUGGCAGAGGGGGGUGGAAUUCCACGUGUAGCAGUGAAAUGCGUAGAGAUGUGGAGGAACACCGAUGGCGAAGGCAGCCCCCUGGGUCAACACUGACGCUCAUGCACGAAAGCGUGGGUAGCAAACAGGAUUAGAUACCCUAGUAGUCC
rnacentral:rRNA from 1 species